rnacentral:rRNA from 1 species
UACGGGGGGAGCAAGCGUUGUUCGGAUUUACUGGGCGUAAAGGGCGCGUAGGCGGUCGUGACAAGUCACUUGUGAAAUCUCCGGGCUUAACCCGGAAAGGUCAAUCGAUACUGCGGGGCUAGAGUGCAGAAGGGGCAACUGGAAUUCUCGGUGUAGCGGUGAAAUGCGUAGAUAUCGAGAGGAACACCUGCGGCGAAGGCGGGUUGCUGGGCUGACACUGACGCUGAAGCGCGAAAGCUAGGGGAGCGAACGGG